ACAUCCAGCGAACUUGGCAGAGAUGCCUUGGGUGCCUUCGGGAACGCUGAGACAGGUGCUGCAUGGCUGUCGUCAGCUCGUGUUGUGAAAUGUUGGGUUAAGUCCCGCAACGAGCGCAACCCUUAUCCUUUGUUGCCAGCGAUUCGGUCGGGAACUCAAAGGAGACUGCCGGUGAUAAACCGGAGGAAGGUGGGGAUGACGUCAAGUCAUCAUGGCCCUUACGAGUAGGGCUACACACGUGCUACAAUGGCGCAUACAAAGAGAAGCGACCUCGCGAGAGCAAGCGGACCUCAUAAAGUGCGUCGUAGUCCGGAUCGGAGUCUGCAACUCGACUCCGUGAAGUCGGAAUCGCUAGUAAUCGUGGAUCAGAAUGCCACGGUGAAUACGUUCCCGGGCCUUGUACACACCGCCCGUCACACCAUGGGAGUGGGUUGCAAAAGAAGUAGGUAGCUUAACCUUCGGGAGGGCGCUUACCACUUUGUGAUUCAUGACUGGGGUGAAGUCGUAACAAGGUAAGCGUAGCGAG
rnacentral:rRNA from 1 species